ACCUGCACCUGAACCAAUCAAAACCAGCUGCAGUAACUCCAGACCAUAGACUGCCCCCACAGGCUUGUACAGCAGCUCUAGACAUGAUGCUGCAUCCCUU